UCUUGUUGGAAGACCUGAAGGCCAAGUUGAGGAUCAUUCUGGAGAAGUUUGUCUGAAUCCUUCUCAAAAGUGCGAUGCCCAGGACCUGAGGUGAGUGCCUACUGCACACAAGUGAAGCAGAAAGUUCUAGAAUUCUCACCCCAAUUAAUAUGGAAAACCCAAACUUGAUCUCAGUCCUGCAGCUGCAUUCAGUUGCCACCUCUGAAGUGUCAGUCAUAUGUGAGUGCUCAGGAGUUCCAGUUUUUCAACCAGCUCUCUGUGGCUUCUGAAUGGCCUUGUUUAUAUGCAGCUCCAUAUAACUAAACUUGGAAAGAACCCAAAUCUAAGAUUAGGGAGUUGAAUCAACAAGAGAUUCCACAUGCGGCCCAAAUCAGUUGAAGGAUGGAACAACAACAACAACAAGAAGACUUAGUCAUGGAAUUUUCUGUUUGCUUGUUUGUUUCAAAUGUCACAUUUAAUGUUUUCACCACUGUACUUCAAAAUCUACAUUGUACAAAGUGACCCGCAAGUGUGCCACAUUUAACAGACCAACCUCUGAGAUUUUACCUUUCAUACCAGUGUCUUCUUGGGCUCUUUUAAGUAAAAACACGAUUUUCAUUCAAGUGAAUUGAAAUGUUGCAGUUGGUUUUGUUUGCUUUAAAUUCGCAGGAGCCACACAAAAAACAAAGAUAUUUCAGCAUCUUUGUUUGAGAAAUUCAACGUUUGUCUUUCUUCACAGCAAAAUAAUUACUUCAUUGAAGUUAAAACUUCCAAAAACGUAACUAAUAGAAUCCAGUUCCAACUCAGAUCACCCUUCUUGAAAAUACUCUGCUAAAUACAGAUAACUUACAAUAACUUUAACAGUUAAUUGUCCAUGACAAACACCAAGGUUUCUCUUAUUUUUUAAUAUCCCAGACCAACAUUCAAAAAUUCGAGACCAUCCAUUCAUUAUUUCUUUGUACAGGUGAAAAACAGUCUUCAAUUUUUCUUGCCUUUUUUAAAUAUAAAAGUUGGAAGGGACAUUCAAGUUUCAAGUCUCCACACUGGACUUAAAAAAAAAAAAUCAGGUGGAGGUAAACAAGCCAUGUUGUAUACUUCCAGGAGGUAGAGGCCUUCAAUUUGUGUUCAUAUAUAUAUAUACAUACAUAUGCACAGAAUAAUUCAGUGUUUGAACAGAACACACACAAAAAGAAAUUAGCCAAAAAGUAAUAAAAGUUAUUUACUACUGUGACAUUUCAAGACUUCCACGGCUUUGCCUAAUGACACAAAUACAAUUAACAUAAUUCCCUAUGUGCUUUCCCCCACUAUUUUUCAUUUCUUUUUCAUCCAACUGUCCAGUGCAGGAUUUAAAAAAAAAGAAGAAAUCACAAAGUUUCACAGAUCUAAAAAUGUGUAAACUACUUUCUCAUGCGCUCUCUCUCUCUCUCUCUCUCUCUUUCUCUCCAUGGCAAUGGAUAUCAAGAUUUUUUUGAAAUAUUAGCCCCCAAAUGGAAUGCGUGCUGGGGCAGAGGGAAGGGAAGGGGAUGGUUUAUGUAAGAAAAAGAGCAGAAAAAACUUCUAAUAAAAAUAGAUUAAAUAUAUAUAUUUAUAUAUAUUUAUUUAUAACUUGGGAGGGGUUUCAAAGGAAAAGACACUUUUCUCUCCUAGUUAAAACUCAUUCUCUCUACUCACAAAAUCAGACUGGAAAACAGCACACAGGCACCACCACUUUGCUACUGAGAAGCUAUGGAGAUGGAUGUGACCAUCAGGUGACUUUGCCCACUCAUGCCUGGACGCUGCCCUCUGAUGAGGCUUCAUGAUUGGUCAUGAUUAAGUUUUGUAUUCCCUGUUUUGUUUUUCAAACAAAAGUCCCAAAUCUUCAGGAAUGGCUCAAUAUCAAAAUAGCUUGUCCUUUUAUACAAUUCCACUUUUAAAACUGAAGAAAAAAAUUGGUUCAAUCUUUUUCGUUCUGAGCCAAGCAAAAUUCACAGCUGCACUACAAUUCAUAAAUUUAAAAAAAAAAAAGAAAGAAAGAAAAGUGCAACCCUGGAUAAAAUAUUUUUUUUCUAAAAGCACAACCCCACCUUUGACAGGAUUUAAAAGCCUAGUUAACAUUUUUCUAACUCUUAUUGUAUAACAUACAAGGAUAGUGGUUGUUAAUUUAAAACUUCGUUAGUAAAAUUACAGUACAAGCAGGAUUAAAUCUCCAGAAUUGCAAAUCCCAGAAUCCAGUGGAAAGCUACAUUAUGUCUUCAGUAGUAUACUGUAUCUUCCACUUUCACUCCCAGACCAGCGGAGAUGGUGGCAUCUCGGACGGCUGAGCCACAGUGGAACU